rnacentral:rRNA from 1 species
UAGGGAAUCUUCGGCAAUGGGGGGAACCCUGACCGAGCAACGCCGCGUGAGUGAAGAAGGUUUUAGGAUCGUAAAGCUCUGUUGUUAAGGAAGAACGAGUGUGAGAAUGGAAAGUUCAUGCUGUGACGGUACUUAACCAGAAAGGGACGGCUAACUACGUGCCAGCAGCCGCGGUAAUACGUAGGUCCCGAGCGUUGUCCGGAUUUAUUGGGCGUAAAGCGAGCGCAGGCGGUUAGAAAAGUCUGAAGUGAAAGGCAGUGGCUCAACCAUUGUAGGCUUUGGAAACUGUUUAACUUGAGUGCAGAAGGGGAGAGUGGAAUUCCAUGUGUAGCGGUGAAAUGCGUAGAUAUAUGGAGGAACACCGGUGGCGAAAGCGGCUCUCUGGUCUGUAACUGACGCUGAGGCUCGAAAGCGUGGGGAGCGAACAGG